GGCUUAGAGCGUGAGACUUUUAAUCUCAAGGUUGCGGGUUCGAGUCCCGCGUUGGGCU
rnacentral:tRNA from 1 species